AGAGAAGGAGGGGAGGCAGGAUAGAGUCGGCGGCGACGGCGGUAUUUCGAGCUGCUGGCCGAAAUUCAGAGGGGAGGAAGAGGCGGUUUAGGGAGAAUCGGAGAUGGUGGUGAUGAAUCGCGGCGGCGGUUGCCUAUUGGUGCCGUCCGUUCGUCGAUCGGGAGAGAAGGUGGCUGAGCGACGCUGCUGCUGUGCCGCGACGGCAAGGCGAUGCUCCGACUGCCUCUCCCUUAAAAUCAAAGGAAAUGGUUUGGGAUUUUGGGGAUUUCCUUUUUGACAGAGAGAGAAGCAAGAUAGGGGAAGGGGGAGCCGCGACGGCGACAUAGCUUUCGUCGCCGGCGAUGGAGAAGUGGCGAGGCGGCUGGUGAGAGAGAGAUGGCGGAGAAAGGAGGAGAAGGGGGUGUGUUCUGAGAGAGAGAGAGAGGGGAGGCGUAGAGAAGGAGAGAUAAGGGGUUUUUGACUUAUGAAAUUUUGGGCCUAUACUUUUAAUUCAAGUUGGGCCUGAUUUAAUUAAAGAGUUGGGCUGCAUGUUUGUUUAGAUGUUGGGCUGAAUUACAUUCUUUAACUCAGGCUUUACUUAAAUUAUUUAGUCGAGUCCUGAUUCAGUUGAUUAUUUUUAAUAAUGCAAUAAAAGUAUUUUGAUAAAUUUGAUUUUUUUUAUGAUAUUCAUUUGAGUUUUGAAAAUUCGGGCGCAGAAUAUUAAGAUUUAGCAGCUUUGUAGAAUCGUUAGCUCAUGCGAUAUUUUGAGACCUAUUAAGAUUAGAUUGUCUUGUAGGUCCACUUGAGAGAAGGAAUUAGUUUUGCGUUUACAAGAAGAGAAUUGUACAUCUUUUAUCUACAAGCUUGUUCUAUCGAGGUGGGUUUUUAUUUUCCAAAUGUAUGUUUUGAGUUAUUAAGCUCUACUUGUUUUAUGCAAAUGCAAAUGAAUGUCCAUGUUAAAAUGUUUUUAUCUCUCUAUAGUUUAAAGUGUUCCUAUGUUCUCUAACGAUCGGGUCCUAGCCGGCGUAGCGAUUGGAUCGCCCUGGUUAGGAUUGUGUACACACAAGGGGGUAUUGUGGGCUGCUCCCACUUGCCCCAGACUGUCAGACUUGGGCUGCUCUCAUUUCUGAAACAUGCAUGGUAGUGGACCUCUGUGGGCUGCUCCCACAUGUUCACAUUAUAGGCGAAGCACCAGUAGAGAGAAGACUGAAAAUGGAUCCACAAUUUAUUUUAAGUUGAGCGGCAGGUGGUGACGUGCGAGGCUGAGGGAGGAUGUUGCUGUAGUUUCAUAUAAUAAUUUAUGCUGCCAUAAUAUUCACUAAGGUGGAUAUCUUUUGAGAUUGACUCUUUAAAUAUUCUUAGCCUAAUUAUUAUGAACUCUUUUGGCAAUCGCAUUUCUAGCAACUGAACCUCGCAUAUAUGUAUGUCUAGUAUGAAGUGUUAUCUUGUUGUCUCAGACCUCCGAACUUUUGAUCCUGGUUGGGAGAAUUUCUAUCUUAGUUGUCGUAAUUAUUAUCCUUCAAUUACGAAAUUCCUUUAUUA